UGUCACCAGUUCUGACACUGUGCCUCCCAGUGCUUCCAGCUUUCCGCUUUCACCAGGUCUCACUCUUGAAACCCCCGAUGGAAAUUUAGAGGCUUCUGUGGUUCUGAGGGGUUACUGGGGCUUUGCAUUUUCUGUUUCCUCACUUCCUUUAUAGCUCUCAGGGAUUUCCUAAGAAGUCUCUUCUGUCCUAGUAGCCUGGUCUGGCUCCUCCCUGCCCGGAUGGAGGAGCUGGCACAUAGGUCUUGGAUGGAUGAUUUUACUACUCAAAAGCUGCAUUACAAGUCUUGACAACUAAACUCCAGUAGAAAAAAGAAAAAGAGUGCUAUGUCAAAGGUGAUUUAACCAUAAUUGGUUGGAGACAAGCGGUGGCAGUUUCCCUUUUCACACAGAAGAGCAGACACGUGCAAAUGAAUAGUGCCUGAGAGGACGCAGUCAGAAUACUCACCAUAUUCAGGCCAGGAGUAAACGUCAGGGGUGGAUCUGUCUUGUCUUUGUAUGGUGAGUCUUUCCCAGCAUCAGGAUCUUUUCCAUUGAGUCGGCUCUUCGCAGCAGGUGGCCAAAGUGCUGGAGCUUCAGCUUUAUCAUCAGUCCUUCCAAUGAAUAUUCAGGAUUGAUUACCUUUAGGAUUGACUGGUUUGA